CGCUCCGGAGCGAACUGCGCGCAGCGUCCGGGAAAGAAGGCUUCAGGAGCUGAGACUGCGACCGAAAAUAAUAAUGGAAGCAGGUUGGAAGGAAUCUUUUCCUGCAUCUUGUGUCAUGCCUCUGCUCAACGAUGAGUCAUUACAGAGUUGCAGUGCCAAAGGCUAUCUGUCCUCCCAGGAGUUCAACCUGAAAUUCCUAGCUGGAAAUGUUGUCGUCUUGUGUCCUUUGUCAGUAGUACUGAAGAUUUAAUUGUUGCGCAUCAAGAAACAAGUUCUAUCUCUUGUCCCAUGAGAUGCACUCUUAAUUAUGGCAAGAUCUUUACUUGCAGCAAUCUUUGUUCCCGUGAAUGGUGGUGGUGUUUUGGUUUUCUUUGG
rnacentral:lncRNA from 1 species